CGGCUUAUGCUUGGACGAUUGGGGAGGUAGCCUCCAUAAGGGUAUUGACCGAAGUUGAUUGCUGCAUGGAGAGCAGAUGCCACCCAUAUUAUUGUGGUGCAUGAUUCUAUCAACUCUUCCCUUUUCUCCAUCUUAGGCCACCAGGGUUCAUCUUUCUUGUCGCCGUGGGCUACCUCCCGGAUUUCCUUCCACCAUGAUUGGAGUUCAUGAUCCUUUAUGACAAUGUCAUCUGUUUCGUAGUAAAAGGAGCAAUAG
rnacentral:misc_RNA from 1 species